AACGAACGCUAUCGGUAUGCUUAACACAUGCAAGUCGGACGGACUAAUUAGGUCUUGCUCCAAUUAGUUAGUGGCAGACGGGUGAGUAACACGUGGGAAUCUGCCCAUCAGUACGGAAUAACUUUUAGAAAUAAAAGCUAAUACCGUAUAUUCUCUACAGAUGAAAGAUUUAUCGCUGAUGGAUGAGCCCGCGUCUGAUUAGGUAGUUGGUGAGGUAACGGCUCACCAAGCCGACGAUCUGUAGCUGGUCUGAGAGGAUGAUCAGCCACCCUGGGACUGAGACACGGCCCAGACUCCUACGGGAGGCAGCAGUCGGGAAUAUUAGACAACGGGCGCAAGCCUAAUACAGCAAUACCGAGUGAGUGAUACAGGCCCUAGGGUUGUAAAGCUCUUUUAGCAAGGAAGAUAAUGACGUUACUUGAAGAAAAAGCCCCGGCUAACUCCGUG
rnacentral:rRNA from 1 species